CCAGUCGGAAACAACUUACAGCUGCUGCUGUUGUUCCAGGCUGUUGAUGGACCCGUCCUCCGGUGCCUACUGAGCUGAUAUCAGUUCUGAUUUUACACACUGGCUCAGUUCAGCAGGAACAGGAGUCGAGCC
ensembl:miRNA